UACAGAGGUCCCAAGCGUUGUUCGGAUUCACUGGGCGUAAAGGGUGCGUAGGCGGCUUGGUAAGUUCGAUGUGAAAUCUCCGGGCUUAACCCGGAAAUGGCAUUGAAUACUAUUGAGCUGGAGGUUUGGAGGGGGGACUGGAAUUCUCGGUGUAGCAGUGAAAUGCGUAGAUAUCGAGAGGAACACCAGUGGCGAAGGCGAGUCCCUGGACAACACCUGACACUGAGGCACGAAAGCUAGGGGAGCAAACAGG
rnacentral:rRNA from 1 species